GUCGUUGGAGCGACGCCAUUUUGCGCGCAGCGGGGCCACAUUGGCCUCGCCUAUAAAAGGCUGCGGUGACGUCAGCGCCCGACAUUUAAAAUCUCAUCGUGGUGCGCAGUGGACGUGAAAGUGUUGUGACAAGAUCUCCAAGUGAAUUUGCCUGGGUUGGAUUCAGUCCCAUUGCGUUUCGCGUGGGUCUGCAUCCAUCCGAUGGCCGCCAUCUUGGCUGUCGCUGGGGCGCGGUCGCUGCUUACACAACAAUGGGUUUGUAACGGUAUCGUGCAUUUAUUUUAGUUUAGUUAAUUUUGUGAUCCAAAUGUAAAAAGUUAAAUAUUUCAAUUUCAAUCUAUUUCUCGAUAGUAAAAUUGGAAUUUGGUUAUUAUUCAUAUUGAAUAAGAUAAAUUGUAACAUAUGUUUAAGUAUGAAAAAUAAAAAGAUUAUUUUCAAUGGAAAGUUGUAUUUCUCCUAUUUUGUUACUGUGAUUUCACCCGAAAUGUGUUAUUCCAUGAGUCAUCAUCGUCACUUCGCUUCGUGGAGAAAGUGGCGAGUGCGAACGAGAUCGAGCUCCAGACUCGGCCGAGCAGCCUGCGGUCUGCCGCCGAGCCGUCGCCGCCGCGGCGUUAAGGUUCCCUGCGUUCAGCCCACGGCUCCACUGUGCCAAACGGCGCGCGCUCAAAUACGUCCCGGUUAUCAGCCCACUAGGUAAACGUUAGGCCUCCGAAUUCCUCAUACGACUGGUGUAAUAAUAUCAUGUAUUCCAUAACAAAGUCUGCCCGUGCCCGCAUGCGGGCCCCCUGCGUGUAACGUUGUGUUUAGACCCCAGAGCGUUGCGGUUACCGUGCAGCUGCAGACCCAGUCGUGGCGGGUUGACGCAAUCGCAUUGUUCAUCGUGCGCACGGCCUCUUCGCGUCACGGUCACGUGAUGGCGCAACCCGGAACACUUGAACACUAGAAUUAUCUUCCCGUAAGGAAGUACCUAUGUUGACAAUGUCGGUGAGUCACUUGUUACUGAAAAUGGUCUAAUUUUGAAAUAUAAAAACAGACAUUUUGGUAUUUUAUUGAUAAUCAUAAUAAUGAACAUUUAGCGUGGGAGUGACAUUUCUCUUAAACAUAACUAGAAAUACUUAAAGUAAAUUUCCUUACGAUUUGGACAAGUCACUGCUAUUGCUAAGAAAUUAUUCCAAUGUUCACAUGUAAAAACAUACCUAAUUACUGAAUCGGUGAGUCAUCUCACUUAGGUCGUGUCUAUGAAAUAAUUUUUCUCCAAACAGGGUAUAACAUAUAUUAUUUAGGAACGUGCUAGAACGAUCGGGAGGCCUCGGAGGUGACUUGAGGGAGUUUUCGGAGACUGCCACCGCGACCAUGAAGUAUCAAGUAACUAUCCGUGACCUCUCCAAUCUUCGCGGCGCUUUCUAUAUUAGGUAAACCAGAGGUCACGAUAUUUGUGUGGAUGCAUGCAUAAAUAUCUUAACUGCAGCUAUAUCUACACUUCGAGUGAGCAGUCUCCAGUUUAGUACAUGAAAAUCUCACCUGCGCACUGCGAGCUGGAAAUAUUAAGUAAAUUGAGGAAACGUGGCGUGGGCUGAUCAUUUCCGGGACCAUUCUGAACCAUAAUGCGCGACAUAGGCUACACAAUGUUAAACGAUUGCAUACAAAUUAAGAAUAGGAAUAUGAAGCACGGACUUGUUAGAAUGCGGUAAGUUACUAUGAAAUCUCUGAACUCUUUCUAGGUUAAUCGUUGCAGUUACUUUCAUACAAAUUAAUUUUAGUUUCUAAUUUUAACCUAAAUAGUUACUUGUACUUACAGCAGACUUAAUCAAUUUGUAUGUUACCUUAUCUGCACUUUUAACCUGUUUUUGAUAAAUAUUUUUCAGCAUUUAUUGCGCGACACAAACCAUUUAGUUUAGAAACUCCAUAGCAAGUUCUGGUUUGCGUAUGCCGCUAAUAAACGCUUAUUUUCUAGAUCUGGUCCAGUAAUUUUCAUUGCUUAUUUAGGACUUGCGAGUAUUUGCCUCAGGCUAACCAGUAUAAGUGUGACUUCUAGAUCCGUAACAAUGAUGCGGAAUCAGAAAUCAGACUUGGCUUGUUUGCUGAGACGAAUGCGGGCUGGCACAGAAUAAGCGUUGAAAAUCAUAGCGCUGCUACUUUUCUAUGAUUUCAAAACAUUUUGACACGUCAAUAUGAAUGCAUGAACUGAUUUCCGUACCUACUUCACAGCUAUACACCGGGAACCGUGGCUGGUGAUCAAGGUUGUGCGUGACAAGAGUCAACCAACCAAACGUAAACAAAGCGAGGUGAAGCCCUUCUCCGCGAAGGCUAGCCCGGCCCCUAUAACAAGUGGACCGUCGGCCUCCACAGAUAAGUCAAUGCCGGUCUCUCUAUCCCAAAUCACUGUUAGAUAAUAAACCUACCAAAGGCUGAAACGCGUGAACAAGUAAGACCCAUAUGCUUCGGUAUCAUUCUAAAAUUGAUAAUGAUUGCUUGAUGUAAUCUUCUCUAAUGCUAAGAUCCUGUGUAGUUGCAUACUAUGCUAUAAUAUAAUAUCUAUUUGAGGAACUAUAAAAUACACUACAGAUUUUUCAUAUUAUACCUACAAAUUAUAAUAAUGGACACAUUAAGUAAUAAUAAAACGCCCAUCUAAUGUAGCUAUGAAACGGAAAACGAAUGUAUUGCAACAUAAUU